rnacentral:lncRNA from 1 species
UAGUGGUUUGGAGCUCUUCAGUUAGCUCUUAUCAAGCAACAUUUUGUGAUUCAAGGACGGCAUCUCUUGUGCUCGUCAUUAUGGUUGUGUUACUAGGUUCCGGCCGAUAUAUGUGUUCACAAAAUAGGCUUAUUUGUUCUUUAGCUUCUAUGGGGGAAGUGAUUUUCGGUAAGAAAGUCUUGAGCAUUGGUGAAAGUUAGUUUUUAAUUUCUAUGGUUUAGUAUUGUUGUAUUUGCUUCAUGUGUUGUUCGGCUUGUGGCUACGAGUUUAUCCGGUUUAUGUCUAUGAUGUGUUUUGGAUAAUUGUGUUGUGUUGAACAUCCCAUUUAAGUUUGUGAUGGAAUGAUUUGAUAAAAGAUAAUAAAAGUACGGUUCAUCUUCAAACAUGUAUCAUAUCCUAAAUAUGAUGAAAUACGAUGAAAUGAGGCAGUUAUUUUGUAAAUUCAAUUAAAAGUACAUACAUGUAAAAUUCUGAUAUUUAUUGAAAACAUGUAUCCCACUAACAUUUUACUUCUGCGAAUAAAAGUACUAUCGUAUUGAAAAUUGCCAAA